rnacentral:lncRNA from 11 species
UGUCCCUCCGUAGCAGCAGCCAGCCAGAGUUCCAAUAAAUUUUUGAGUCUGCAAACAGGAGGACUGACUGUAAGACUGUAAGAUUUACUUCUACCACCUGAUUUUGGAACAAAACUGGCUCUCACUUCCUCUGGAUCACACACCUUUCCGCUUAUGGGGGAUCCAUAG